rnacentral:rRNA from 1 species
UAUGGUGUGUGCCAGCAGCCGCGGUAAAACGUAGGUCACAAGCGUUGUCCGGAAUUACUGGGUGUAAAGGGAGCGCAGGCGGGAGAACAAGUUGGAAGUGAAAUCCAUGGGCUCAACCCAUGAACUGCUUUCAAAACUGUUUUUCUUGAGUAGUGCAGAGGUAGGCGGAAUUCCCGGUGUAGCGGUGGAAUGCGUAGAUAUCGGGAGGAACACCAGUGGCGAAGGCGGCCUACUGGGCACCAACUGACGCUGAGGCUCGAAAGUGUGGGUAGCAAACAGG